rnacentral:rRNA from 1 species
UAGAGUUUGAUUAUGGCUCAGAAUGAACGCUGGCGGCAUGCCUAACACAUGCAAGUCGAACGAAGGCUUCGGCCUUAGUGGCGCACGGGUGCGUAACGCGUGGGAAUCUGCCCUCAGGUUCGGAAUAACAGCGAGAAAUUGCUGCUAAUACCGGAUGAUAUCGCGAGAUCAAAGAUUUAUCGCCUGAGGAUGAGCCCGCGUAGGAUUAGCUAGUUGGUGUGGUAAAGGCGCACCAAGGCGACGAUCCUUAGCUGGUCUGAGAGGAUGAUCAGUCACACUGGAACUGAGACACGGUCCAGACUCCUACGGGAGGCAGCAGUGGGGAAUAUUGGACAAUGGGCGAAAGCCUGAUCCAGCCAUGCCGCGUGUGUGAAGAAGGUCUUCGGAUUGUAAAGCACUUUAAGUUGGGAGGAAGGGCAGUAAAUUAAUACUUUGCUGUUUUGACGUUACCGACAGAAUAAGCACCGGCUAACUCUGUGCCAGCAGCCGCGGUAAU